rnacentral:rRNA from 1 species
GAGAGUUAAAUAGUACGUGAAAUUGUUGAAAGGGAAACGAUUGAAGUCAGUCAUGCUAGUGAAAAAUCAGUUUGACGGGUUUUGAGUUCAGGAGUAGAGGCAGGGUCAAACCGUUUCUCUUUUGAACUUGGGAUUUGUUAGAUGUACUUUUUCUUUGGCAGGUCAGCGUCGAUUUCGGAGGUUGUAAAAUACUUGGGGGAAAGUAACUCUGCUUCGGGAGAGUAUUAUAGACCCUGGGGGAUGCAGCCUGCGGGAUCGAGGAUUGCAGCAAAUGCCUUUGGCUUGUCGCCUGAUCUCUGGAUGUUACCUCGCUUGUGACAACAUUCUUGCCACCUGUGGGUACUAAUGCCCAUUAGGUUAGAGCGAUCAAAAAUUUUGCUAAGGAUGCUGACGUAAUGGCUUUAAACGA